ACCUGGGUGGCUUAGUCGGUUAAGCAUCUGACUUUGGCUCAGGUCAUGAUCUUUUGGUUCACGAGUUCAAGCCCCGUAUUGGGCU
rnacentral:tRNA from 1 species